GGGGGCGUACUGGUUUCGACCUGGGAACUGCGCCGGAGGCGGCAUGCCGAGGACGAUGCGUUGGCCUCGUAAAUCAUCGCAUCAAACAAAACUGCUAACGAAGAGUUGGCUCUCGCGGCCUAACGCGCCGUGACGUUCACCGGUGAACACCUGCUACGCCGGAGGAACGCAACAGCAGGCAUGGGUUGACGCGGAGACGGCGCGCGGCGGCCCGAGAUUUUUCAUGCCGGCUAGGCGGCGGGGAAGCGUGUCGGAAGGCGUUCCCGCGGCUGAAGUCAAGUUCCGACUAAGCAUGUAGUCGCGGCCGGGGUUGUUGUCAGGGACAGGGGUUCGACUCCCCUCGCCUCCACCA
rnacentral:tmRNA from 1 species